rnacentral:rRNA from 1 species
AUACGGAGGAUCCAAGCGUUAUCCGGAUUUAUUGGGUUUAAAGGGAGCGUAGGUGGAGGCUUUAAGUCAGUUGUGAAAGUUUGCGGCUCAACCGUAAAAUUGCAGUUGAUACUGGGUUUCUUGAGUACAGUAGAGGUGGGCGGAAUUCGUGGUGUAGCGGUGAAAUGCUUAGAUAUCACGAAGAACUCCAAUUGCGAAGGCAGCUCACUAGACUGGCACUGACACUGAUGCUCGAAAGUGUGGGUAUC